rnacentral:rRNA from 1 species
AUACGUAGGGGGCAAGCGUUAUCCGGAUUUACUGGGUGUAAAGGGAGCGUAGACGGAAGGCCAAGUCUGAUGUGAAAGCCCGCGGCUCAACUGCGGGACUGCAUUGGAAACUGGUCAUCUGGAGUGCAGGAGGGGUAAGCGGAAUUCCUAGUGUAGCGGUGAAAUGCGUAGAUAUUAGGAGGAACACCGGUGGCGAAGGCGACUUUCUGGCUGACAACUGACGCUGAGGCGCGAAAGCGUGGGGAGCAAACAGGAUUAGAUACCCUGGUAGUCCACGCUGUAAACGAUGAAUACUAGGUGUGGGGGGACUGACCCCCUCCGUGCCGCAGUUAACACAAUAAGUAUUCCACCUGGGGAGUACGAUCGCAAGAUUGAAACUUAAAGGAAUUGACGGGG